CCAACCCCAACCCACCCCAUCGUGCCCACAUCCCUCAGUGCCACAUCCCCACAGCUCUGAACACCUCCAUGGACGGUGACCCCCCACCCCUGGGCAGCACCACUCCUUCUGAGAAGAAAUUUUUCCUAAUGCCCAACCUGAACCUCCCCUGGAGCAACUUCAGGCAUUCCCUCUCAUCUCAUCUGUGAAAAAAAUCACAAGCUGUAAAUAAAACCAAGGAUACUCACAUUCAUCAGCCCCACUCGUACCCAGGAUGAUUUUCAAAGACUUUCCCAGCUAUCCGUUGUCAUUGCUGCUUUUCUCUAUGCAAAAUCCUCCUGCUGGCCACAAAGGGAAAAGGUGCGACUGGACAAAUCCCUUCCCUUUGCAAAGACCCGCUGCACUUCUGGCCCAAUGAUGAACAUUUUAGAAACUUCCGGGGUCCCAAACCCAAAGAAUUGGCAGCCAUCAUUAUGUGCCCUUCAGCUGUCCCAAGGAACAAUUGUCUGUCAGUGCUAUCUGCCAACAGGAGUCUGCCCCAUGAGGAGCUGAAGGCUGCUGUGGGAUGCACGUAGCACACACUCAGCUGCCAGCAGCACCAUCAGAACUUGGGGAAUCUCCGCUGCAAUACAACCAGAAGCAAAAGGUUGCUCUGCACAGGGCUGCACUGUGCAUGCACUGCGAGAGCCACCAACAGCAUUACGUUGCACUGAUCACUUGAGGCCCAAUUUAGUGAAAUGAGUAAGCAUUUGCAAAAAAAAAAAAAUCUUUUUUAAAGUUGAUGGCACAUUGUGUGCUCCUUCAGGAUUCAUUUCUGGCAGUAAAUUAAGCAUGUAUUUAACAUCAAGGAGUUAAGCCUUUAUCUCCAGCCUUACAAUUCUCCUUUGCUACGCCACACAAAAGCAACUUUUCCCCCAGUUUUAUCUUCAAAGUUUGGAAACGUAUUUAGCUCUACAUUACAAUGAUUCUAUUCAUAUUUCAUGAAUUUUUAAGUUCAGACUGUGAGCAUGGACAGCUCAUCACUGACACAUCAGUGAAAUGCUGUGAAAAACAAGCAACAUAUUGUGCUUUUAGCUUAUGAGAUUGCUUUAUGGUUCCCUCAAGGAUAUUAAAAAGAGAUCUUCGCAAGGAUUAUCAAUAAGUAUCUUUCAGGAUCAGCACUUCUGAAGUUUCCAGAACGGCUUCAAAUCUUGACUGAGUUUGGAAAUGAAAGAACCCACUAAGAAACAGCAAAAUCAUAUUUUAAAGCUCAAAUAUUCUUCAGUUUUGCUGCUUUGCAUUUCAGACUCUGGUUAUCACUGUGAAUGCUAAUUCCUACAUCGUUUUCUUAUUGAAGCUAGUUUUAAGUUUCAACUUCUUUAUCAAAAACAGAUAGGGAAAAGAGAAACUUCACUGCAAUUUUGACAAAGCAUUAAAAAAACAUUUUUAAUAAGUGAUUUAAAUACUGGCUUUUUGGAUGAUCAGAAAAGAAUCCCCGUUAGCUUUGCUAUAUUAAACAAGAUACCUGCAUAGCCCAUAUUAUUACAGCACCUAAUCAUCUCACAGCCCUUCAGAAUAUUUCAUUUGAGCUAGGAAAUACUGUUACUUCAUGUUACAUGUACAAACAAAAAGGUACCUAAAGACCUUUGGAAAAGGGGCUCUACAUUCCCAAGGAAAUUAAGAGGCAAUAAAUCAACCCUGCCAGGAUCAAACCAAUAGCCUUUAGAACCAGAGCUCUGUUUCACAUCAGCAUGAAAUCAAUGAUAUGAAGUUCAUGUCCCCUUGGUAGGACAUGGGGAAAUGGAACAUUAAGACUGGAAAUAAGGAAAAAAGUUUACGGUAAGGGGGUGGAGGCAUUGGCACAGGUUGCCCAGAGAAGCAGCGGUGCACCAUCCCUGCAGACAGCCAAGGUCAGGCUGGAGGGGCUCUGAGCACUGAUGGAGCUGUGGGUGUCCCUGUGCACUGCAGGGAGUUGGACCUGAUGGCAUUUAAGGGUCCCUUCCAACUCAAACCGUUCUAUGAUUGUGUGAUAAGUUCAAGGGUAACCUACAGCCCCUCCUUCAGCAGUAGAGUACCUCCCUGACAAGGAAAAGAAGGGAAAUCGACAAAUCUCACUAAGCACAAUUUGCAGAGUACCACUGUUCCUAUCAACACUGGAGCAUCCUUUUAUUUGACUGUCAGAAGCAUCUCAGAGCAUGAAAAAAAGAAGUCCGUCUGCUUGGAUACAAACAAACCUUCCAAGGUUCAGUUUUUCUCCCUAAAAGCUCAACUGUGAGUUUUACCUCAAUAGAAGACCUCCUAGAAAUGGAGCAUCCCUGCCCUGCUGCACACUGAUCCUGGCCCUGUGGACUCUCUAGAUGCUGCAGCUCAUGCUUAAGGUCAACUAACCAUCCUAUCCCUUACAUUAAGUCCUCAGUUCUGGAUAAAGGGGAAGACCCAAAGAUUUUUGGAAGCUACAGACUGCUGGGGUGCAACUUGUGGCUCCCCAGGCACAAGCAGGGUGCAGAUGCAGCAGGUGUGCUGAAGAAGCAUCACUCAAAACUCAGCUGCAGUGCAGAUGCAG
ensembl:lncRNA